GGGUCAGUAGGUUGGUCGUGCCACCGGUACGUACUGGUCUCACUGAUUCCUCCUUCCUGAAGAACCGUAAUGCCAUUAAUUUGGUGUUGCGGGGAAACAGGACUGUCACUUUGAAAAAAUUAGAGUGUUUAACGCAAGCUAACGCUUGAAUACAUUAGCAUGGAAUAAUGAAAUAGGACGAUCGAUCCUAUUUUGUUGGUUUCUAGGAUUGACGUA
rnacentral:rRNA from 1 species